rnacentral:rRNA from 1 species
UGGGGAAUUUUGGACAAUGGGGGAAACCCUGAUCCAGCCAUCCCGCGUGUGCGAUGAAGGCCUUCGGGUUGUAAAGCACUUUUGGCAGGAAAGAAACGUCGCGGGUUAAUACCCCGCGAAACUGACGGUACCUGCAGAAUAAGCACCGGCUAACUACGUGCCAGCAGCCGCGGUAAUACGUAGGGUGCAAGCGUUAAUCGGAAUUACUGGGCGUAAAGCGUGCGCAGGCGGUUCGGAAAGAAAGAUGUGAAAUCCCAGAGCUUAACUUUGGAACUGCAUUUUUUAACUACCGGGCUAGAGUGUGUCAGAGGGAGGUGGAAUUCCGCGUGUAGCAGUGAAAUGCGUAGAUAUGCGGAGGAACACCGAUGGCGAAGGCAGCCUCCUGGGGAUAACACUGACGCUCAUGCACGAAAGCGUGGGGAGCAAACAGGAUUAGAUACCCUGGUAGUCCACGCCCUAAACGAUGUCAACUAGCUGUUGGGGCCUUCGGGCCUUGGUAGCGCAGCUAACGCGUGAAGUUGACCGCCUGGGGAGUACGGUCGCAAGAUUAAAGCUUAAAUGAAUUGACGGGGUCAUACUG